rfam:Brevundimonas sp. Leaf363 contig_1, whole genome shotgun sequence.
UCGGGCCAUUGCGGACGCCCGGUCAGGCGAUUCCGCCCAAGCGCCGC